GAUAAUUUAUUCUAAUGAGGUUAGGUAGUUGUUUUCAAUUAUUACCUUCUACAAACCACUAAUGAAAUGAAGUCAGUGUACAUCUUUAAAUAACCUUUAAUAUUUGUACAAGUAAAUACCCUCAUUGACGAUAAUGGAAAUUGUCAAAAAUUCUCAUUUUCUCGCUGUUUAGCUCACCCACAAUGGCUGUCAGCCAGCCAGGUGAUAGGCUGCAAGGCACAGCUAAUUGUUUCAUGAGAAGACAGUGUUUCAAAGGUAAGGCAAAGGAGGUGCAGACGCUAAUGAAGUUUAUUACUGGAACACGAAAUGAGGAUUGUGACAAGAGACAGUGGUGGCAGUGACAUGUAGUUAGAAUGUUAAAGCUUGUGAUGGCUCUGACUGAAUCACAGGGAGAGAGAGAAAUAUCAAGAAGUAUAGACUAAUGAAUACCCCUACACUGAAAAAGACCAGAUCACAGCUUCUCUGGCUAGAAAGAGCAGAAAAACAAAACAAAACAAAACAAAACAAAACAAAGCUAGUGGGCAAACAAAUAGGAAACAGGGACACAAAGAACAGAUCAGCCUGUAAAUAAAUCUGCCUGCCUUUGGCAUAUCUGAGCAGUGACGUCAGUGUGUUCCAAUGUCUAUUCUCAAAAGCAUCAUUGGAAGAGCUGGGUCACAAUUAUGCCAAGGUCUGCAAGCUUGAAAUUUCUCCCCAGUGAUUCGUAGCUAUUUUUGAGUGGGAGAAAGAAUAGAAAGAGAAAGAAAUAGAAAAGACAAGGUGAAUAGAGAAGAACCUCCCACACAUACCAGUCGUCAUGAAGUGACCGCUCAGAAUGGUUCAUUUUUCCAAACUCAGAAGAGAAAUGAUGGAUGAGACACAGAAAGCACCUGUUCUCUUAAAAUAUAUUCUGGUAAGGGUUGAAGACGCCACAAAACAAAAGGGAGUAGUGUCACAUGGCGCACCCUUGCAGUCUUAAAACUUGGGGGACCUGAGGGAAGAGAAUACGGAGCUGAAAGCUGGCCUUGGCUACAUAGGAAGACUGAAGAAUGAGGAAAAUGGGAAAUCUCAGAUAAUUCUAGAGACUGUGCAAUGCAUUAUGUAACAGCAUGAGGGAAAGUUUUUUGGGAAGUGUUAGUUUUUUAAUAGCGUGUGGUGAUUUUAUGCAAAAAUAUAUAAUUUCCAUUGGGAGCUGGUACCUAUAUCCCCUUCCCUUGCAUCUGGGUAGCAUGGCUCCUAUAGCUUUCCUAGAAGAAGGAGGUAGAGAGGAAGUGACUCUCACUUAGUAAACAUCGUAUGCAUUCUAGGAAUCUUCAGCUGAAUGUAAGUUGUCCAGCUGUCAGAGGCCAGCAUGUGGAGAGAGCAUGCUGAAGAAAUACAUAGCUAAUGAAGAUGUCCUAAGUAGCCAGCUGUGUUGGCUCCCAGAUGUUGGAGUCUUCCCAGCUUGGGUACCAGAUAUGUAUACAACAGAAUAGCCUUCAAAAUGUUCAUUGAAUGGUGACCCCACAGAACACCCAAACUCACAUAAUUUCUUUGCUUGAGCCCUUGUCUGGUCCUCAGAAUCUAGGUCACAUAAAUUAUCAUCCUUAUCUUAAGCUACCACUUGAGGGAAUAAUCUGCUACAUUGCCUCAAAGGACUGGACCAGUGAUGUACAAGAAGGCUGCUUGGAAGAAGUGCCAUUUGAGCUGGUGGCCUGGAUUAUAAAGGCAACAAGGGAUGAAGAAACUGUGCAACGUGAAGACAACUAGAAAUUCACAGGAAAAAAAGCAUAUCUGUAGCGCUGAUGUCGAACGCAGUGGAAAUGGUGUGAGGCAAGAGCUGGCAUGCAGUGGGAACCUAAGUUCAAAGGGUGUGUGGGUAGAGGGGACUCAGUCAAGAAACCCUCCACCGUGAUGCUGAGAGUGGCCGCAAUCCUCUCCCACAUUCCGUUUUGGAACCUUGGGGUAGUCGGAGCCCAUUUUGCAUUCUGUCCUACUGGUAUUGUUAAUGCACCACUAGAGAUCAAAUGGAGGACUUCAUGCAUGCUGAUCAGGAAUUUUCGAACUGAGCUACACUCCUCAGUGGUACUGGAUCAUACAGUUUACAUGAGCAGACUUUACAACGUGAAAAUCAUAUCUGAAUAAAGUUGUUAAAGAGACAACAAGAAAAACUGACAGAUGAUAGGAACCUAGCAUAACUGCAUCCUGAGAGGUUUCGUUCAUCCAGCAGCUGAUGGAAACAUAUGCAGAGACACAUAGCCAAAUAUCCAGCAGAGCUUGAGAAGUCCUAUGGAAAUGGGGAAGAAAGGAUUGAAGGAGCCAGAGAGGUCAAGGACACCACAAGGAAAUCCACAGAACCAACUAACCUUGGUGAAUAGGAGUUCAUAGAGACUGAACCACCAAAGAGCAUGCAUGGGACAGACCUGGGCCCUCUGCACAUAGGUAACAGCUGUGCAGCUUCAUCUUCAUAUGGGACUCAUAACAGCAGGAGCAGGGGCUGUCUCUAACUCUAUUGUCUGUCUUUGGAUUGCCUUCCCUAACUGGACUGCCUUGCCUAGCCACAAUAGGAGAAGUGCCUAGUCUUACUGCAACUUUGAUAAGCCAAGGUGGGUUAAUAUCCAUGGAGGCCUCCCUUUUUCUGAGGAGAAAUAGAGGACAGGAGGAUAAAGGGGAAGGGAGGGGAGGGGAGGAGAGGAGACUGGGAGGAGAGGAGAAAAGGGAAGCUGCAAUCAGGAUAUAAAGUAAGUAAAAUAAUUAAUAAAAAGAAUCAGAAAAAUGGUUAUUUAAUAAAAUACAGAGUAGGCAUGGUGGCACACGCUUUUUCAAUUUAUUUAUUUAUUUAUUUAUUUAUUUAUUUAUUACGUAUUUUCCUCAAUUACAUUUCCAAUGCUAUCCCAAAAGUCCCCCAUACCUUCCCCCUACUUCCCUACCCACCCAUUCCCAUUUUUUUUGGCCCUGGCAUUCCCCUGUACUGGGGCAUAUAAAGUUUGUGUGUCCAAUGGGCCUCUCUUUCCAGUGAUGGCCGACUAGGCCAUCUUUUGAUACAUAUGUAGCUAGAGUCAAGAGCUCCGGGGUACUGGUUAGUUCAUAAUGUUGUUCCACCUAUAGGGUUGCAGAUCCCUUUAGCUCCUUGGGUACUUUCUCUAGCUCCUCCAUUGGGAGCCCUGUGAUCCAUCCAAUAGCUGACUGUGAGCAUCUACUUCUGUGUUUGCUAGGCCUCAGCAUAGUCUCACAAGAGACAGCUAUAUCUGGGUCCUUUCAGCAAAAUCUUGCUAGUGUAUGCAAUGGUGUCAGUGUUUGGAAGCUGAUUAUGGGGUGAAUCCCUGGAUAUAGCAGUCUCUAGAUGGUCCAUCCUUUUGUCACAGCUCCAAACUUUGUCUCCUUCCAUGGGUGUUUUGUUCCCAAUUCUAAGAAGGGGCACAGUGUCCACACUUUGGUCUUCAUUCUUCUAGAGUUUCAUGCGUUUAGCAAAUUGUAUCUUAUAUCUUGGGUAUCCUAAGUUUUGGGCCAAUAUCUACUUAUCAGUGAGUACAUAUUGUGUGAGUUCCUUUGUGAUUGGGUUACUUCACUCAGGAUGAUGCCCUCCAGGUCCAUCCAUUUGCCUAGGAAUUUCAUUCUUUUUAAUAGCUGAGUAGUACUCCAUUGUGUAAAUGUACCACAUUUUCUGUAUCCAUUCUUCUGUUGAGGGGUAUCUGGGUUCUUUCCAGCUUCUGGCUAUUAUAAAUAAAGAUGCUAUGAAAAUAGU